AUACCGGCUGCUCGAGUGAUGGCCACUAUUACUGGGUUUAAAGCGUCCGUAGCUUGACUGUUAGGUCUCUUGGGAAAUCUUUUGGCUUAACCAAAAGGCGUCUAAGAGAUACCGGCAUUCUUGGAACUGGGAGAGGUAAGCCGUACUUCGGGGGUAGGAGUGAAAUCUUGUAAUCCUCGAGGGACGACCUAUGGCGAAGGCAGCUUACCAGAACAGCUUCGACAGUGAGGGACGAAAGCUGGGGGAGCAAACGGGAUUAGAUUCCCCGGUAGUCCCAGCCGUAAACAAUGUGCGUUAGGUGUGUCGGUUACCACGCGUAACUGAUGCGCCGAAGAGAAAUCGUGAAACGCACCACCUGGGAAGUACGGUCGCAAGGCUGAAACUCAAAUGAAUUGGCGGGG
rnacentral:rRNA from 1 species